rnacentral:rRNA from 1 species
GGUGCUCUUGACUGAGUGUCGGCGGUGGCCGAGAAGUUUACUUUGAAAAAAUUAGAGUGUUCAAAGCAGGCUGUUCGCCUGUAUAGUGUUGCAUGGAAUAAUGGAAUAGGACCUCGGUUCUAUUUUGUUGGUUUUCGGAGCGUGAGGUAAUGAUUAAGAGGGACAGACGGGGGCGUCCGUACUCUGCCGUUAGAGGUGAAAUUCUUGGAUCGGCGGAAGACGAACUACUGCGAAAGCAUUCGCCAAGAAUGUUUUCUUUAAUCAAGAGCGAAAGUCAGAGGUUCGAAGACGAUCAGAUACCGUCCUAGUUCUGACUAUAAACGAUGCCAACUAGCGAUCGGGAGGCGUUACCAUGACGACCUUCCCGGCAGCUUCCGGGAAACCAAAGUCUUUGGGUUCCGGGGGAAGUAUGGUUGCAAAGCUGAAACUUAAAGGAAUUGACGGAAGGGCACCACCAGGAGUGGAGCCUGCGGCUUAAUUUGACUCAACACGGGGAAACUCACCCGGCCCGGACACAGGUAGGAUUGACAGAUUGAGAGCUCUUUCUUGAUUCUGUGGGUGGUGGUGCAUGGCCGUUCUUAGUUGGUGGAGCGAUUUGUCUGGUUAAUUCCGAUAACGAACGAGACUCUGGCAUGCUAAAUAGUUACGCGACCUUCUCGGUCGGCGUCUAACUUCUUAGAGGGACUAGUGGCGUUUAGCCACACGAGAUUGAGCAA